UACGGAGGAUGCGAGCGAUAUCCGGAUUUAUUGGGUUUAAAGGGUGCGUAGGCGGGAUGCCAAGUCAGCGGUAAAAAUGCGGUGCUCAACGCCGUCGAGCCGUUGAAACUGGCGUUCUUGAGUGGGCGAGAAGUAUGCGGAAUGCGUGGUGUAGCGGUGAAAUGCAUAGAUAUCACGCAGAACUCCGAUUGCGAAGGCAGCAUACCGGCGCCCUACUGACGCUGAGGCACGAAAGCGUGGGUAUCGAACAGG
rnacentral:rRNA from 1 species